GUUUUCGCUAUUGUACCUCCCCUCAAGUGUUUAAUUAACUGAUUAGGUGGUCAUUGCAGUGCCAUUUUCAAUGCUCUUUUUUGGCUUGAGCUAAAACAUUUGGAUGGCGAUUGGCACAAGGUUUCUUCUCUGGAGUUAUCUAACGAGUGUCUUAUAUCUGUAUCCGAGUAGGAAACGCUGCACAAUCAUAAGCAGGACAACACAUCAAAUGUUGACUCAUACAAAAUACUUGAAGCUGCAGGUGCCAGGGUCUUUGUUGAAGAAUUAGCCCCUCAUUUCAUCUAUCAUUGUGUAUUGUGUUCUGUGUCUACAUGAUACUCAUACUCUCUGAUAUUUACUUUAUGGGCUAACAAUCCAAGGAAGUAUGGAGGAGGUCUAAGCUACUCAACCAACGAUGUUGAUACAGUUCUUGCAAUUUAAGGUCUCGGCCUAUUCUCCUUUCAGGUUUCUGUUUAUCCUUUGGCCGAGAAACUGCUAGGACCCGUGCUGGUCACUCGUUUUGUUGGGGUCAGUUGAUAUUAUUUGAUGUGAUUUAUGAUUAUCUGCAUAUUGUAAGUAGUGGACUAGAAUGCAACAAGAUAGAGAUCUUUCUUCUGACAAUUUUUUUUUGUUUUAGGCAUUGAUGAUACCAAUACAGAUGAGUUAUCGAUUUAUUGCUAAUCUAUCAGGUCUCAGUCUAAGCUUACUGUUGAACUGGGCAUCAAUCCUCAUCAACGUGCUAAUUAAGUGUAAAUCCAAAAUCAAAAGCUAAUCCUUCUUCUUUCCUUCUCCUUUGUGCGGAUGUAGUAAUAUAUUUAUCAUCUGCUUAUAAUCCUUUUGACUCAUUUAAUAAUAUGUAGGUGACCGGCUUGUUGAUCCUGCAAAACAAAGCUGUCGAAAGAAAAAAAAUUCUUCAUUUUUGUAAAAUAUGGACCACUUUUCUUUUCUCUUAUAACUUUAAUACUUUUUAUGAAACAACAUGAUCAAAGCCAAAGAGGGGCUGCUAAUGGAAUAACUAUGAGUCUAUGACUGUAAUGUCUCUCUUUAAGACUGGUGGACCAGCUGGUGCUGGCAUACCAUUUUCAUGGAGCGAAAGGCGACUAAAAACUGCAUUUUUACCAGGAUCGCAUAUGGUGUUCUUCGUCCUGAAUGUGAUAGUCGUCAUAGGAGUAGCUCUAACAUUUAAGCCGUUUUUAACCACGGCUAGAAGGUGAAUUUCAUUGGAAGUGGUGAUAGAGAAAUGUAUGGAGUCGUUCAUUCUUUUAGUUCUAGAUUCGAAAGAACCGGUAAUCAACUUGCAGUAAGCUUAGGAUUUGAGUUUCUUUUUAUUUCCUUCUGUUUUGGUUGUGUGAUUUUCUACCAGACGCUAUAGAACAUCAAUGAUAUAUAAAGCACACCA